CCGAUUUUUCUUUCAGUUUUGUUUUGCAGACAUAAGGUAUUCUUAAGGAUCAAAUGUUUAGGAUUGUAUGGAAUCAGGUUUGAUCUGUUAUGCGCGUACACAUGGAUUUUGUGAAUAGUAUCGAGGCAGUGCGGAUGACAAAGAUGAGGCC